rnacentral:rRNA from 1 species
GAUGAACGCUGGCGGCGUGCCUAAUACAUGCAAGUCGAGCGAACGGACGAGAAGCUUGCUUCUCUGAUGUUAGCGGCGGACGGGUGAGCAACACGUGGAUAACCUACCUAUAAGACUGGGAUAACUUCGGGAAACCGGAGCUAAUACCGGAUAAUAUUUUGAACCGCAUGGUUCAAAAGUGAAAGACGGUCUUGCUGUCACUUAUAGAUGGAUCCGCGCUGCAUUAGCUAGUUGGUAGGUAACGGCUUACCAAGGCAACGAUGCAUAGCCGACCUGAGAGGGUGAUCGGCCACACUGGAACUGAGACACGGUCCAGACUCCUACGGGAGGCAGCAGUAGGGAAUCUUCCGCAAUGGGCGAAAGCCUGACGGAGCAACGCCGCGUGAGUGAUGAAGGUCUUCGGAUCGUAAAACUCUGUUAUUAGGGAAGAACAUAUGUGUAAGUAACUGUGCACAUCUUGACGGUACCUAAUCAGAAAGCCACGGCUAACUACGUG